UACAGAGGUCCCAAGCGUUGUUCGGAAUUACUGGGCGUAAAGGGCUCGUAGGCGGCCAACUAAGUCGGAUGUGAAAUCCCCAGGCUCAACCUGGGAACUGCAUCCGAUACUGGAUGGCUUGAAUUCGGGAGAGGGAUGCAGAAUUCCAGGUGUAGCGGUGAAAUGCGUAGAUAUCUGGAGGAAUACCGGUGGCGAAGGCGGCAUCCUGGACCGACAUUGACGCUGAGGAGCGAAAGCCAGGGGAGCAAACGGG
rnacentral:rRNA from 1 species